GCCGAAAGCGUCAUCGCGUCGGUCUCCCUGUCGCGGGUCACCACAAGGCGCAGGCGGCCGAGUUCAGGGUGCCGCUUGCCGAUUUCGGCGAUCUGCUCCGGNNNNNNNNUACGAACAUGCCCUUGACCUUGGUGGUCUGGUCGGCGCGGCCCAUCCAGCCCUUGAUGCGCAUAUUGGUCCGCCCGCAGGGGCUUUGCCCGGCCAGCACGGCGCUGAGAUCGCCGAGCGCCAGGCGAACCCACGGAUGAUGCGGGUCGAGCGUUGUCACGACGAUUUCGCCGACGUCGCCGUCGGCCAC
rnacentral:misc_RNA from 1 species